AAACGAUUGAAGUCAGUCGUACCUGCGGGUAAUCAGCCUUUUGGGCGUGAUUCUGUGGAGUGUGAGGAGUUAAACGCCUUCAUGCCUGCAUAUUCGUGUACUUUGGGUGUACUUGCCCGUGUGGUUUGUUAACAUCAAUUUUGAUCUGUCAUAAAAUGGCUGGAGGAAUGUAGCUUCGAUCUCGUAUUGAAGUGUUAUAGCCUUCGGUAGAUGUGAUGAUCGGGAUUGAGGAUUGCAACGAAUACCUUUCGGGGCUACCCGUCUGAUCUCUGAUCGUUGCUCUGGUGCCGAAAGCUUGCUUACGGUUAUCAAAGUCGAUGGUCAAUAGGUUAGAACGGGUUAAAUUCGUUAAGGAUGUUGACGUAAAGGGC
rnacentral:rRNA from 1 species